rnacentral:rRNA from 1 species
AGCUCCAAUAGCGUAUACUAAUGUUGUUGCAGUUAAAAAGCUCGUAGUCGGAUUUCAGUUUAGGGCGUUCCGUUUUUUUAUGAAGCGGUCUCUCUUUUCUUCCUUGGCAGAAAGAUUCAUGUUAUUCAUUUAGCGUGUUUUCGGACUGCCUCUUUUACUUUGAGAAAAUUAGAGUGUUCAAAGCAGGUUUUCGCCUGAAUAUUACUCUUGGAAUAAUGAUAUAGGACUUUGGUUCGAAUUUGUUGGUGAUUAGGACCAAAGUAAUGAUUGAUAGGGACGGUUGGGGUGAUUCGUACUAUAAAGCGAGAGGUGAAAUUCUUGGACCUUUGUAUGACGAACU